AAUAACACUCGACAAUGCAGCAAACAACAAGACAGCUUGUGAUCUUCUGCAAGAAAGUGGAAAGCAAGACAUGUUAUUUGGUGGUGAGCAUCUUCUUGUUAGAUGUUGUGCUCAUAUACUCAACAUUCUUGUGCAAGACGGUAUGAAUGUUGCUAGUGCUGUGAUAGAAUUGAUAAGAGACCUGAUUAGGCACAUUAACUCAUCACCAGCACAUAUCCAGGAUUUCAAUGAGAUAGCUCAAAGAGAAGGUCUUGCUGCAAAGGCUGGUUUAGUCCUUGAUGUUCCAAAUCGUUGAAACUCAACAUAUGCCAUGAUUAUGGAGGCAGCAAAGUACAAGACCGUCUUGAAGCGAUAUGUCACAGCAAACCAGCAACCAUUUCCAACCGAAUCUGAGUUUAGUAAAGUUGAGUCCAUUGGUGAAUUCCUUGGAGUUUAUGAAGAAGCUACCAGGGCGUUCUCAGCUGAUAGAUAUCCAACAUCCCACAUAUUCCUGCAUAAUGUGCUUUGCAUCCAUCAAACUCUGAGAAGUCCAGAAUGGCACAACAAUCAGGUUAUCACUGAUUUGGCAAAUGCAAUGGAUAAGAAAUUUGAUAAGUAUUGGAAUGGAAAUUACAAUAUGCUCCUUCCUAUUUGCAGCAUACUUGAUCCAAGAAAGAAACUUGACCUCCUUGACUUCUUCUAUGAGAAGGUGUGCACCAACUUUAUUGACAUUGAAAUUAGGACAAAUAUGGUUAAAGAGUGGCUUCACAAGUAUUUUAGGAAGUAUGAAGAGGUUAUAAAAAGAAAUGAAACAAAUGUGGUGUCACAAACUGCACAAUCCACAAGCAUGGUGAACCGUUCUCCAGUGCUAGUACUUGGAAAAAGAAGACUGGAACAAGAAUUUGCUGAAUACAGGAAUCGGAGGAGAGGGACUAGGAUUGAAAAAUCAUAACUUGAUGCAUAUCUAGAAGAGCCACCAGUGAGGCCAGAUGAAAGAUUUGAAAUUCUGACUUGGUGGAAAACAAACUCCAACAAGUAUCCUGUGCUGUCAGCAAUGGCAUGUGAUUUUUUUAGCAAUUCCACUCAGCACUGUUUCGUCUGAAUCUGCAUUCAGCUUGAGCGGUCGGAUUCUUGAUGACAAUCAAAGCUCAAUGAAACCAGAAACUCUUCAAGCUUUGGUCUGUUGCAAAGAUUGAUUGUACACAUAUCCCACCAAUGAAGUGAGUUAGGGAAUUCUGAGAAGCUUAUACUUUGCACGCUAAGUUUUGUGGACCUUGCUGGUUCUGAGAGGGUGAAAAAAUCUGGUAUGCUUCACGGGUUCGUUGCAUUGUUAAUGAUACAAGCAAGCAUGUUGCCCCAAAAGAAAUCGUGAGGCUGAAGAAGUUGAUUGCCUAUUGGAAGGAGCAAGCAGGCAAGCGAAGUGAUGACGAACUGGAAGAAAUACAGGAAGAGAGGGUCUCGAAAGAGAAAGCAGACAAUCGCCUGACUGGCUGACAGCGAGGUGCCACCACUGAAUGCUCCUGGUCGUGUUCUUCAGUGUUAAGAAUUUGCGACAGCGACGAGUUCUGCAAUCACUCUA